rnacentral:rRNA from 1 species
CACGUAGGGACCAAGCGUUGUCCGGAUUCAUUGGGCGUAAAGAGCUCGUAGGCGGCUCAGUAAGUCGGGUGUGAAACCUCCAGGCUCAACCUGGAGACGCCACCCGAUACUGCUGUGGCUAGAGUCCAGUAGGGGAGCGUGGAAUUCCUGGUGUAGCGGUGGAAUGCGCAGAUAUCAGGAAGAACACCCGUGGCGAAGGCGGCUCUCUGGGACGGUACUGACGCUGAGACGCGAAAGCGUGGGGAGCGAACAGG